CGGAGAAGGCGAGGAUCGGAAUCGAUUUGACGAAUUUCUCGUCGACGCCGGUCGGAGGCGGCGGCUGUGCCGCAUCGGCAUUUGCGGCGCGGCGCUUUAAGCAGUAGUUGGCGAGUAAGAGGUGGUAGGCCAUUAUAGCGAUGACUGUGGCAACUAUGCCGAGCAUAGAUAUGAGUAACGGAUUGAAGAAGGAAGCGUUAGUGCCGCUUUGUACCGUAGGCGGUGAGCUCAAGCCCUCCAUCGUUCAUCACAUGUACUGUACGAAAAUUUCCAGUCCAGAUCUUUGAAAGAGGCAAAUGUUUGUGCGCACGUGUUAGAAAAAUAGAGGAAGGGCGAGAGAAGAAGGGUGGUUGUGCGACAAGUGGGAGGAGGAAUUGGACUACGGCGUUGAUGAGGCGAUUAAGUUGUUGAGAGUUUGGUGCAAUUUAUGAUAUGGUUAAUCGUGGAUGGGUGAUUUGUCAUGUGAUGUUGCUUGCUCCUCUUAGUUACUUCAUUAUACUAUUCGUUAAAUACUGUAGACUUGAUAACAUCAUAAGAUUUGGUUUCUGCUAAUCUGCUAUGCAUGGUUGGCAUAUCGGAAUUUUGAAUAAACGAAGAUUUUUCCCUUCAA